GUUAAAACACUGGUCCCCAUACGCCCACCGAAGUUAAGCAAGGUCGAGUCUGGGCAGUACCUACAUGGGUAACCGCUUGAGAAAACUAGGUGCUGUAAG